ACUGGCAUUGCCUCAGUACGGCGAGUGAAGCGGCAAAAGCUCAAAUUUGAAAUCUGGCACCUUCGGUGUCCGAGUUGUAAUUUGAAGAAGGUAACUUUGGAGUUGGCUCUUGUCUAUGUUCCUUGGAACAGGACGUCACAGAGGGUGAGAAUCCCGUGCGAUGAGAUGCCCAAUUCUAUGUAAAGUGCUUUCGAAGAGUCGAGUUGUUUGGGAAUGCAGCUCUAAGUGGGUGGUAAAUUCCAUCUAAAGCUAAAUAUUGGCGAGAGACCGAUAGCGAACAAGUACAGUGAUGGAAAGAUGAAAAGAACUUUGAAAAGAGAGUGAAAAAGUACGUGAAAUUGUUGAAAGGGAAGGGCUUGAGAUCAGACUUGGUAUUUUGCAAGCCUUACCUUCGUGGUGGGGUCCCCUGCAGUUUACUGGGCCAGCAUCGGUUUGGAUGGUAGGAUAAUGACUUGGGAAUGUGACUUUGCUUCGGUAAAGUGUUAUAGCCCUUGUUGAUACUGCCUGUCUAGACCGAGGACUGCGUCUUUGACUAGGAUGCUGGCAUAAUGAUCUUAAGUCGCCCGUCUUGAAAMMMMGRAAMCA
rnacentral:rRNA from 1 species